rnacentral:piRNA from 1 species
UGAAGUAUUGUUUGCCCGUAGAA